UUCAAUUAAUGGACACAUGUCACCAUAUGGAUGGAGACACAUGGGUAGAAAUGAUUACAUGGACACGUGACGUAAUUUGGAUGGAAAAUUAAAAGUAAUAAUUAAACACCAAUCUCGAGGGACACGUGGCACCGUAGGAUGGAAGCAAUGAUGGAGGCUCACAUCUUGAGGGACACAUGUCGUAGUAGGAAGAAAGUAAUAAUGAAAGCUCAUAUCUCGAGGACACGUGGCGCCGUAGGAUGAAAGCAAUCAUUACGGCUCAAAUCUCCAUAACAUGUGGCGAAAAUUCAUUCGUUAAAGGGUUAAAAAUGUCAUGAUAAGGCUCAUAUCUCAAGAGCCACUUGUCACCAUGGGAAGAAAGCAAUAAUUAGGGUGUAAAUCUCAAGUGCCAAGUGUCACCAUCUUAGAAAGCCAAGUGUCACAAUCCUAUGGAUUUAAGGGCACUAUAUAAGAAUGCCUUGGGUUGGGUUUUUGGCCACCAAAUUAAGGGGGUAAGUUGCUUAUAAAGGAGGGGAAACUCUGCUGUAAAGAAGGGAAGGAAACCCUGCCCGAGUAGGAGCCGAAAGCAAGCCGUUGGAAGGCACGAGCCCCUUGAAAUCCGUGCAAAACAGUAACCAAAACUGCAAGGUUUGGAUACAAAAAGGUCUCGGUUUUUAUAGAACAGUCCACUUGGAGCGACGUUUGGCCGUGAAUUUGUGCAACCAAGAAGUGGGAAGCUUCGAUCUGUCAGGCUCGG